rnacentral:rRNA from 1 species
GACGAACCGUGCGAACGUUAUUCGGAAUCACUGGGCUUAAAGCGCGUGUAGGCGGGAGGGCACGUCCGUCGCUGAAAUCCCCCGGCUCAACCGGGGAACGGGCGCGGAUACGACCUUCCUGGAGGGGCGUAGGGGGACCUGGAACUUCCGGUGGAGCGGUGAAAUGCGUUGAGAUCGGAAGGAACGCCCGUGGCGAAAGCGAGGUCCUGGACGCCUACUGACGCUGAGACGCGAAAAGCCAGGGGA